UACGUAGGGUGCAAGCGUUGUCCGGAAUUAUUGGGCGUAAAGAGCUCGUAGGCGGUUUGUUGCGUCGGCUGUGAAAUCCCGAGGCUCAACCUCGGGUCUGCAGUCGAUACGAGCAAACUAGAGUGUUGCAGGGGAGACUGGAAUUCCUGGUGUAGCGGUGAAAUGCGCAGAUAUCAGGAGGAACACCAGUGGCGAAGGCGCCGCUCUGGGCCGUGACUGACGCUGAGGAGCGAAAGCAUGGGGAGCGAACAGG
rnacentral:rRNA from 1 species